UACCGGCGGCUCGAGUGGUGGCCACUAUUACUGGGCUUAAAGCGUUCGUAGCUGGUUUGUUAAGUCUCUGGGGAAAUCUUCCGGCUUAACCGGAAGGCGUCUCAGGGAUACUGGCAGACUAGGGACCGGAAGAGGUGAGAGGUACUCCAGGGGUAGGAGUGAAAUCCUGUAAUCCUUGGGGACCGACCUGUGGCGAAGGCGUCUCACCAGGACGGCUCCGACAGUGAGGGACGAAAGCUGGGGAGCAAAC
rnacentral:rRNA from 1 species